UAGUCGCCGCCAUUGACGACGGCGGCGGAGGAGUCCUUGGCGGCAGACAUGGGGUCAGCGUCGGUCUCCGGGUCAGUUGAACCGGUCUUCUUCUUGUGUUUUUUCUUAUCGGAGUGGGAGAUUUCGACUUCGGACAUUGUUCACGGGUCAAGCGGGAGCUCUGGGCUGAGCUCUCUAGGGUUUUUUAGGGUUUAAGGUAGGGUGGCUGGAAAUGGCGGAGAGAUUUUGAGGUUGAAUUAAACUGCGGAUUUAUAAGUGUUAGG
rnacentral:lncRNA from 1 species